GAUGAAGAACGUAGCGAAGUGCGAUAUGUAAUGUGAAUUGCAGAAUUCCGUGAAUCAUCGAAUUUUUGAACGCAAAUUGCACUCUCCGGUAUUCCGGGGAGUAUGCCUGUUUGAGGGUCAGUAAAAUAAAAAUCGAUGUUGUUGUCACCUUCGUGGUAACGCGUCGGAAUUGAGUCAUCUUACCUUCGGUUAAGUGACUUAAAAUUUUUACGCGAAUUCGAAACGUAUUUAACGUUUAUGGUACGUUGCGAUAUUCCAAUAAUAUUAGAUGCGGUCAUUCUUAUGAUUCGUGCCUAUAAUUUUUCAUUUCUUGACCUCAAAUCAGGUAAGAGUACCCGCUGAACUUAAGCAUAUCAAUAAGCGGAGGA
rnacentral:misc_RNA from 1 species